GAUGGAUCUGUAAGUUAAUCUGAAAGCAUUCUCUGCUUAACAUGAUCUUUCCUAUGCGCAGAGCGUUCUACCGUAUUACGUGGUAACAAAAUCAUCCAAAAUCCGCACGCCGACCUUUGAUAAACCCACCCCUGAAACGUACGUCAGAGCUGCCUUGGGCACAGUAGGCCUGCAGUCCCGCACCAACGGGUACCUACCCCACGCUCUCAUAGGAUGGCUCUUCUCUCUUCUACCUACAUCUACUACCAUUAAUUUCAUCAUGAACUACAACAAACAAAUACGGGCUCGUUAUCUGAAAAAAAUGAAGAAGAAUUAAGUUGAAGGCAACUCGAUCUCAGAAGCCUGAGACUCCUGCAGGUUCCAUACCCACGCUGCAGCAUCGAGUAGAUCUAAUGUUUUAAACGUCUUCAAUCAUAGGUGUAACUUUCUAACAAGCAAACCAGUCUUGUUUUGAGAAUAUGGGUGAAACAAGACUUGACUUCUGAUAGUGAUUUAAUAAUAGGCUUUAUUUGUUCUUAGAUAUUAUGAGGAGAGAAGUGCUUCUGACUAGAAUUGCACUGUGCUGUAAGAAAUACUUACAUGGACUCAAUCAGACAUAGUGCUGUUGAGGAGCAGCUUGGUUAUAUGGUGUCCAUCACACCUGUGUUGUGCGCAUGGGUGAAGGGCAGAAAAACCGUCAUUCUCGCAUAUUCCUGGACAGGUGGGCAGGGGCGGGAAGGGAGCGUAUUUAUUUAAAAAGGUAACCUAGCACCAUUGACAGUGUAACAUUUUCCCAGCUCAGGUUUUGGGUACUUGCAAUGAUUCUGCAUUGUCAGCCAGCUCGUGGGUGCUCCCCUGCUUACACGGUCCAGCAUGAUUUUUGGUUAUGAACUUGAGGGUAACAAGCCUAAAACCAAAAUAAGUGUAAUUGCUCAUCUAUAAAUAUAUACAUAAAAUAACAUUGCAAAAGGUAUUUAAAUUCUUGGUUCUUGGAUAUGGAUUCUUACUUUUCAGUAAUAUGUAAUCUUUACAAUUUGUAAUAACAUUUUUAAAAGUUCAGUGCCUGCUCUUUUUAAUAGGUGGUGAUAACACAAUGUAGAUAAAUGUCACAAAUUAUGUGUUAUGUGCUGGUUGCUAUGUAAAAGAUUAUGGGCACUUUAAAUGCAGAGCUUGAAAUUAGUUACUCUCCUUGUUAGCCAUGAUGGUUAAAUUCUUUUUCAAGUAUGUAUGAGUCUGUCUUUUUGGUGAGGCCCUUUGAAAUGUGCAUACUGAAUAUUUGAGACCACUUUAAAAUGAGAACCAGUAAACUUCUUUAAAUGAAGAACAUUUCUAAUUUAAAUUAACUGAUUUGUUUCACGGUUCUGUUCCAACACGGAGUGCUCCAGUGAGGCUGAAGUUAACUCCAGGAGAGAGGGAUCAGAGAAUAUGAGAAAUCUGUGCUGCUGUUGUCUGUUUACCUACUCUUUAAAUAAAGAUUUUGGUCUCUUAACAUUCCUUUUUAUAAACCUAAAAUGUACUGAAACUUAAAAGGCAAAUCAAAUUGCAAGCAACUACCUGUGUUUUCUGUGGUGACUUCCUAUGGUUGAAGAGUGGAGGUUGUUUUCUGUCCUUGAAAGAAUAAUUUCAAGCUCUGAUUUUGAAGUAAAUUAUGUUGUACUGAGACAUGAUUUGGGGCUAACAUUUCUGUACAUUGAAAAAACCUGAAUACCGAUGCAAUGGUGCUGAUCAAAUCUGAGACGCAGAUCCUAUCCCAUAGUUUUCUUAAUUUUUUGGAACAGGGAUGGUGAAGUCAGUGGUAUUAGUUCUGUAAGAGCACAUGACUUGGUUUGCUCUGGAUCUGAUGUGGAAGCAUUGGACUAAACACACUGUAUGUUUUUGACUUUGUGAAACAAAUAAAAUGAAAUUUACUCUGA